ensembl:lncRNA
CCGGGGAUAGUCACUGACAGCAGCAGUUACGUUCAGAUUAACAGAACUGGGUGAUUUUCGAUGAGUGGCUGGACAAGAUUUUUAAUAAGAAACCCUGUCGUCGGCUACGGUUCAUGACCAUCCUUAGGUUUUCCUCUGAGCUCUCUAGUCACGGACACGAAUACUGGAUAUAAUUGUGGAACCACCACGGUUCUUCAGAGCUGCGAAGAUGGGAUUAAGAUUGGGUUAAGGGCAGAGGGGAAUUUACAGGGAGUGAAUUAGGAC